GCUGGGUGUGGUGGUGUGCGCCUGUAAUCCCAGCUACUGGGGAGGCUGAGGCAGAAGAAUUGCUUGAGCCCAGGAGGCCAGGUUACAGUGAGCAGAGAUCUUGCUGCUGCACUCCAGCCUAGGCAACAGAGUGAGAUUCUGUCUCAA
ensembl:misc_RNA Metazoa_SRP Metazoan signal recognition particle RNA